rnacentral:rRNA from 1 species
GGUCCUAAGGUGGCGAAAUUGCUUGUCGGGUAAGUUCCGACCGGCACGAAAGGCGUAACGAUUUGGGCACUGUCUCAACGAGAGACUCGGUGAAAUCAUAGUACCUGUGAAGAUGCAGGUUACCCGCGACAGGACGGAAAGACCCCGUGGAGCUUUACUGUAGCCUGAUAUUGAAAUUCGGCACAGCUUGUACAGGAUAGGUAGGAGCCUGAGAUACGUGAGCGCUAGCUUACGUGGAGGCGCUGGUGGGAUACUACCCUAGCUGUGUUGGCUUUCUAACCCGCACCACUUAUCGUGGUGGGAGACAGUGUCAGGCGGGCAGUUUGACUGGGGCGGUCGCCUCCUAAAAGGUAACGGAGGCGCUCAAAGGUUCCCUCAGAAUGGUUGGAAAUCAUUCAUAGAGUGUAAAGGCAUAAGGGAGCUUGACUGCGAGACCUACAAGUCGAGCAGGGUCGAAAGACGGACUUAGUGAUCCGGUGGUUCCGCAUGGAAGGGCCAUCGCUCAAC